UACGUAGGGCGCAAGCGUUAUCCGGAAUUAUUGGGCGUAAAGAGCUCGUAGGCGGUUUGUCGCGUCUGCCGUGAAAGUCCGGGGCUCAACUCCGGAUCUGCGGUGGGUACGGGCAGACUAGAGUGAUGUAGGGGAGACUGGAAUUCCUGGUGUAGCGGUGAAAUGCGCAGAUAUCAGGAGGAACACCGAUGGCGAAGGCAGGUCUCUGGACAUUAACUGACGCUGAGGAGCGAAAGCAUGGGGAGCGAACAGG
rnacentral:rRNA from 1 species